CCUACGGGAGACAGCAGUGAGGAAUAUUGGUCAAUGGACGAGAGUCUGAACCAGCCAAGUAGCGUGAAGGAUGACUGCCCUAUGGGUUGUAAACUUCUUUUAUAUGGGAAUAAAAUGUUCCACGUGUGGGAUUUUGUAUGUACCAUAUGAAUAAGGAUCGGCUAACUCCGUGCCAGCAGCCGCGGUAAUACGGAGGAUCCGAGCGUUAUCCGGAUUUAUUGGGUUUAAAGGGAGCGUAGGUGGAUUGUUAAGUCAGUUGUGAAAGUUUGCGGCUCAACCGUAAAAUUGCAGUUGAAACUGGCAGUCUUGAUUACAGUAGAGGUGGGCGGAAUUCGUGGUGUAGCGGUGAAAUGCUUAGAUAUCACGAAGAACUCCGAUUGCGAAGGCAGUUCACUGGACUGCAACUGACACUGAGGCUCGAAAGUGUGGGUAUCAAACAGGAUUAGAUACCCCUGUAGUC
rnacentral:rRNA from 1 species